AACGCACAUUGCGCCCCUUGGUAUUCCGAGGGGCAUGCCUGUUCGAGCGUCAUUGUAACCACUCAAGCCUAGCUUGGUGUUGGGGCCCGCGGACUCGCGGCCCCUAAAACCAGUGGCGGUGCCCACCGGCCCUGAGCGUAGUACCAAUCCUCGCUACAGGGCCCGGUGGUCGCUGCCAGAACCCCCCAUCUCCACGGUUGACCUCGGAUCAGGUAGGGAUACCCGCUGAACUUAA
rnacentral:misc_RNA from 1 species